rnacentral:rRNA from 1 species
GACAGAGGGUGCAAACGUUGCUCGGAAUUACUGGCGUAAAGGGCGUGUAGGCGGGAAGGCAAGUCGGGCGUGAAAGCCCCAGGCUCAACCUGGGAACUGCACUCGAAACUGCCUUUCUUGAGUGCCGGAGAGGAAAGCGGAAUUCCUGGUGUAGAGGUGAAAUUCGUAGAUAUCAGGAGGAACACCAGUGGCGAAGGCGGACUUUCUGGACGGUAACUGACGCUGAGGACGCGAAAGCGUGGAAGCAAACAGG